GUGACCGUGGUUCGUAGUUUCAAAUUUGCUGCAUCGGUUUAUCCUCUCACGCUUGUUCAGUUUUUAAUCUCUCAAGAUUAUCUCAUCGCUAUAUCAACAGCACUGCCAGUACGAUUCAUCGGAAACCAGGUGGGAUUAAGCAUCAACACCUAACCAAAUAGAACUGGCCAGAAAUGGAGGUGUCAAGAGUUUUCGAAUGGAUCGAUGAACUACUACAUACCUCAGAGACGUCCUAUGCGGAGUUGUUCAUCUCUGAGUUUGAAGAAAAAAUGACGGAGUGGAUCAAGGAGCACCCGGUGGUAUGGAAUGGAGGAAUCGGACCGGCAGCUUCAUUCGUGCCGACCCUAACCAGGCUUCUAUUCAAGCAAACCAAGAACGUAUAUGCCUACGACCACGUAAUAACUGCAAGGCUAUCACCUAUGGCUGCGAUAGAAGGCAGGAUCGGCUGCUAUCGGCGGGUAGCAUUGGAUGUCCUCAUGGCAACGGCAAGAAGUCUCAACCUUGACGACGACGACCUUAAGGAGGUCAAUCAACUUGCUGCAGAAGAGAGCUACUAUGGUUACGGCAUGGUCUCUGAUAUACUGGUGCUCAAGGCUUUCGGAGUGAAUCACCAUAGGGAUUACCGUUGGGAUUACUAUUGGGAUCCUGUACAACGGUUGU